rnacentral:snoRNA from 1 species
AAGACUAUACUUUACUUAUCAUUUAUAUAGCUUGCUAGUAGAGAAGUUUCUCUGGGUAGUUUGAACACCUGACCCUGUGGGGAGCCAGAACAUUAUCUCCCCAGGGUGAGGAUGCUGGUAGGUGUGGAGUUUGCAUCUGCCUUCUUCCAUUGGCGACUAUUCGUCUUUUCCCUCAGAACAGGGAGUUUGCAGUCUCAGGG